rnacentral:rRNA from 1 species
GGGCAGCCAAGUCGUGAGGCGGAGCUAAUCCCUUAAAGCCAUCCUCAGUUCGGAUUGUAGGCUGAAACUCGCCUACAUGAAGCUGGAGUUACUAGUAAUCGCAGAUCAGAAUGCUGCGGUGAAUGCGUUCCCGGGUCUUGUACACACCGCCCGUCACACCACGGAAGUUGGGGGCGCCCGAAGCCACUUAGCUAACCCUUUUGGGAAGCGAGUGUCGAAGGUGAAAUCAAUAACUGGGGUGAAGUCGUAACAAGGUAAC